AUGUCAAGUAGCAUACAGAUCAAGAAGUAUGUUGACAAUCACACUUGCACAAAAGCAUGGGACCUGAGAGUUCUGACUGCUCCUUUUCUUACUAACAAGUUCAGAGAAGAAUUCAGAGACAAUAAAAAAAUGCCUCUGAAGAAAUUUUCAGAUAAGGUGGAGACAGAAUAUAAUUUGGUUCCACACAGGAGUAAGUUGGGAAGAGCUAGGAGAGCAGCAGUGAAUCAAAUAAGGGGAGUAGAUGAUGACCAAUAUAAUACUUUGUGGGAUUAUGGUCAGGAGCUUAGAAGGAGCAAUCCAGGAAGCCAGUUCUUCUUGUGCACUAAGGAAGUAUUUGAUGAGAAGACAAAGAAGGUGCAAGACCACUUUUCCACAUUGUACUGGUCAUAUGAUACAUGCAAGAGGGGAUUCCUUAAGGGAUGUAGACCAAUCAUUUUCCUGGAUGGUUGUCACAUUAAAACAAGAUACAAGGGAACAUUACUAACAGCCGUUGGAAUCGAUCCCAAUGAUUGUAUCUUUCCAGUAGCAUUUGGGUUAUGUGAAGUGGAGUCAACCCAUAGCUGGGAGUGGUUCUUAGCAUCCUUAAAGGAUGACCUGAACAUAAUGAACACCUCACCAUACACCAUUAUGAGUGACAAGCAAAAGGGAUUAAUAAAUGCAGUGAAAAAGGUUUUCCCUCAUUCAGAACAUAGAAACUGUGUUAGGCACAUUUAUCAAAAUUUCCAUAAAGUACACAAGGGAGAGCAGCUCAAGAAUGAUCUAUGGUCUAUAGCAAGGUCCACUAAUGAAGCUGCAUACACCAGGAACAUGGAUCUAAUGAAAGAACACAGCUUGGGUGCCUACACCUGGGUUGAGAAAUUGGAGCCAAGAACAUGGAUCAAAGCAUUCUUUGACCCGUUUUGCAAGUGUGACAUAUUACUAAACAAUAUGUCAGAAGUGUUCAAUAGUUACAUUUUGGAUGCGAGGAAAAUGCCAAUUAAGUCAAUGUUGGACCAGAUAAUGUGGAAGCUAACAAACAGGAUUGUUGGCAAGCAGAGAGAGGCAGAGAAAUGGACAGGCAGAUUAUGUCCCAAGAUACAGAAGAAAUUGGACAAGUAUGUGGAGUGGGCAAAGAACUGCAGGGUGCAAGAGUAUGGGCAAGGUGUUUUCAAGGUUUUCUCUUUGAACAACACAUACAUUGUUGACUUGAACAUGCUUUCUUGUGAAUGCAAAAGGUGGGUACUAUCUGGCAUACCUUGCCAUCAUGCAAUUGCAUGUUUUAGGCAUGACAGAAUUGAGCCAGAGAGCAUGGUCCAUUCAUGCUACACUGUUGAGGAAUAUAAGAAGUGUUAUGGAUUUAAUAUGAUGCCAAUGAGGGACCCACAGCAAUGGGAAAAAUGCAUGGCAUUGCUGUUCACCCACCCCUGUACACAAAAGUAA
rnacentral:rRNA from 1 species